GGUGCUGGAAAAGUAAUUUGUGGAUUGGACCUCGGCAUUUCUGGUAUGCGUGUUGGUGGCAAAAGGAAACUUACCAUUCCUCCCGCUCUGGGCCAUGGGGACAAAUCAGUAGGAAACAUACCAGCAAACUCAUGGCUCAUCUAUGAAGUCGAGUUAACGGAAGUGAAGCGGUGCAAAAAUGCGUCUGCUAAGGCUUGUGUAAAUCCAUGCUAGAUGAAGGCAAGGCAGCAGAGAUGGCUUCUUUUGGUUCGCUUUUAGCAGCAAACUCUCAGAAGAAAUUAGUGUGAUCUUUUGUGCAGUACUCUAAGAUGGCUGGUACCCUAUCUCUAAGAUGGCCGGUAAACUUAUUAGCAACCAUCCUUCUAUGGUGUUGUUUUGGUGGAGAUUGCUGCCUGUGUAUAUAGAAUAGCAUCACUAAGCGUAGCGCUCAACUAUAACUGUUCCAUGUGCCUAGUCUGCUGUGUGCUCCAGCCUCCUG